AAUACCCGGUUUAACAGAAUUUACGCACAUUUACAAAACUCAACAUUCAUAUUGAUUUCAGACCUUCUUAUCCAUGCAAUAUACUAAAAAAUAGACUUGCAAAUUAUAUCAUACUGCAUUUUAGAUUUUAAGCGGAUCGAGGAGUAUCUUGGUUUUACAAUUAUGGUUUUUUUUUUCUCCGAAUAACUUUUCUCCAGAAAUGUCGCUCCGAUUUUCAUGUGAAGCACCUUUUCGUAGGGCGAUAAUUUAGGGAGGUCAUUUUUUUUUUUUUUGUAUUUUCUCGGGAUUUUUCGUGAUACUCCGUUCAGGAUUCUUUAUCUUUAUCAAUAGCCAAUAAUUAAUCGAUGCGUACAACCGAUAUACAUUAAAUUUCCCGUCUACCUUAACAAUUUCUCACCUACCACAGUGGCCCACCAAUCGAGCGAAGUAAUUCGGUUUAUUUUUUUCACAAUAUCUUGCGUUUAAUACUUAUUUAUUGUAAAUUCUUUUUUCUUAUUUUACAUAUUCCGACGUGCAGAAUAUCUGUGUUAAACGUUUCGGGAUAUACAUUUUUUUUUUUUUUUUUUUUUUUUUUUUUUUAAUUCGAGUAUUAUUAAACAUGAAGUUUG